rnacentral:rRNA from 1 species
UUGAAGAGUUUGAUCAUGGCUCAGAUUGAACGCUGGCGGCAGGCCUAACACAUGCAAGUCGAGCGGUAGCACAGAGAGCUUGCUCUCGGGUGACGAGCGGCGGACGGGUGAGUAAUGUCUGGGAAACUGCCUGAUGGAGGGGGAUAACUACUGGAAACGGUAGCUAAUACCGCAUAAUGUCGCAAGACCAAAGUGGGGGACCUUCGGGCCUCAUGCCAUCAGAUGUGCCCAGAUGGGAUUAGCUAGUAGGUGGGGUAACGGCUCACCUAGGCGACGAUCCCUAGCUGGUCUGAGAGGAUGACCAGCCACACUGGAACUGAGACACGGUCCAGACUCCUACGGGAGGCAGCAGUGGGGAAUAUUGCACAAUGGGCGCAAGCCUGAUGCAGCCAUGCCGCGUGUGUGAAGAAGGCCUUCGGGUUGUAAAGCACUUUCAGCGGGGAGGAAGGCGAUAAGGUUAAUAACCUUGUCGAUUGACGUUACCCGCAGAAGAAGCACCGGCUAACUCCGUGCCAGCAGCCGCGGUAAUACGGAGGGUGCAAGCGUUAAUCGGAAUUACUGGGCGUAAAGCGCACGCAGGCGGUCUGUCAAGUCGGAUGUGAAAUCCCCGGGCUCAACCUGGGAACUGCAUUCGAAACUGGCAGGCUAGAGUCUUGUAGAGGGGGGUAGAAUUCCAGGUGUAGCGGUGAAAUGCGUAGAGAUCUGGAGGAAUACCGGUGGCGAAGGCGGCCCCCUGGACAAAGACUGACGCUCAGGUGCGAAAGCGUGGGGAGCAAACAGGAUUAGAUACCCUGGUAGUCCACGCCGUAAACGAUGUCGAUUUGGAGGUUGUGCCCUUGAGGCGUGGCUUCCGGAGCUAACGCGUUAAAUCGACCGCCCGGGAGUACGGCCGCAAGGUUAAAACUCAAAUGAAUUGACGGGGGCCCGCACAAGCGGUGGAGCAUGUGGUUUAAUUCGAUGCAACGCGAAGAACCUUACCUGGUCUUGACAUCCACAGAACUUUCCAGAGAUGGAUUGGUGCCUUCGGGAACUGUGAGACAGGUGCUGCAUGGCUGUCGUCAGCUCGUGUUGUGAAAUGUUGGGUUAAGUCCCGCAACGAGCGCAACCCUUAUCCUUUGUUGCCAGCGGUUAGGCCGGGAACUCAAAGGAGACUGCCAGUGAUAAACUGGAGGAAGGUGGGGAUGACGUCAAGUCAUCAUGGCCCUUACGACCAGGGCUACACACGUGCUACAAUGGCAUAUACAAAGAGAAGCGACCUCGCGAGAGCAAGCGGACCUCAUAAAGUAUGUCGUAGUCCGGAUUGGAGUCUGCAACUCGACUCCAUGAAGUCGGAAUCGCUAGUAAUCGUAGAUCAGAAUGCUACGGUGAAUACGUUCCCGGGCCUUGUACACACCGCCCGUCACACCAUGGGAGUGGGUUGCAAAAGAAGUAGGUAGCUUAACCUUCGGGAGGGCGCUUACCACUUUGUGAUUCAUGACUGGGGUGAAGUCGUAACAAGGUAACCGUAGGGGAACCUGCGGUUGGAUCACCUCCUU